rnacentral:lncRNA from 1 species
UGCUCUUCACGCUUCUGAUCCUUGUCUUCUCGUUUAUUUCCCUUAUUUUACUCAGGCUUUUUCAAAAAGAUUAGUGAUGAUGGUGGAUGCUUUAGGGUUUUGGUGUUCUUGUUUUUCAGUGUGAAGAGCAAGAACUUUUAGGGACUGAAUUUGUAGAAAUUUUUACUCAACUAACCCACUUUUAAAAAAAAAAUCCCAAAAAAACCCACUUUCCAGAUUAAUUCCC